AUCUCCAGGAUCUCGGCGAUUAUAUUUAUAAUUGGACUGUUACAAAUAAUAUGAAACUUAAUGUCACUAAAUGCAAAGAAAUGAUCCUUGACUUUGGUAGGGUAAAACAGAAUUUCCCACCAUUAUUAAUCGAUAACACUGAGGUUGAACAUGUAAAUUCUGCCCGAAUUCUCUGCGUUACGAUCCAAACCAAUAUGAAUUGGAAUGAACAUGUUAAUAAAAUUGUUAAGAAAUCUGAGAAAAGAUUGUAUAUGCUUAGGCUAUUGAAACGAGCCAACGCUGACACAAGAAUGUUAUCCACCGCAUUUACCACUAUUAUAAGGCCAGUCUUAGUAUACGCUUGCCAAGUUUGGCAUUUCAACAUAUUCCAGGUUAUUUGAGUGAUAAUAUUGAAAGGGUUCAAAGAAGAGCUUUGAGAAUUAUUAGUUACAACAAUGCACGAGAUAUUCCAUCCUUGAAGGAACGACGUGAGAUUUUAUGUGGACAAUUCUUUUUGAGAGAUGAGAACCUAGUCCAAAAAUUGGAUGAAUUUUUACCUAAUAAAUCCUCCUCGGCUUAUGAUACGAGGGGAAAUUGUAAAUAUAAUAAUUAUUAUUGUAAAACAGAACGGUUUAGAAAAUCCUUCCUACCACAAAUUAUUUCGAAACUAAAUUGUAAAUAGUAUGUUUGCGAUGUUAAUACUGUAAAUAGUAGUUUAUUCCUUUAUAUAUAUUUAUUUGUAGUACUUAUAUAGC